AAACAGAACCUCUGUGAUUCUUCUUUUUUCCCUACGAAGUGUUCUGGGUGAAGUUUGUGGAGAAAAUCUUCCCUGCCAGAUGCUGUCUACAUCGUGGGUUUCCUCAGUUCAGAGCUGAACCUCCCACCAGUUGCGUGAUCUUCGGGCUAUGGGAACAUGGCAAGUGAAGAAAAUUUAUAGGAACAGAGCGAAGUUGGCCAACAGUUCAAAUGUUCUCUCUUGUAUUGAUGAAGGUAUACAGCCACAAUCUCAGAUUAUGAUGUAUCUGCACCUUUGCUUCUGCCAAUAUUAUUUGCUGCACUCAUCCAGCUGCAGAGAGACUCUACUGGAGGAAAGAUUGUGCCCAAGGACCUCCAUCCAAUGCCAGAUGCUACGUCUGGACCUUAUGCCAUGAAGGGUAUCACUGAGCAGUUUUUCUCUCCUCUACCUGCACAGAGCCGAGCCUGAUUAGUGGUGAAGGCCCGCAGCGACCAAGAAAGGUAUUAAUGUUCCAUUUCUCCUGCACCACCUCCUUCUCAGAAUUGGAAAAAAGAAAAGUAGAAGUAACGAGAAUAGCCUUGCUCUUUUUCUCCCUUCCAAGUAGAAACAAAGAAGUUUGUCUGCGAGGCUUUUACUGAAGCUUAGCCAAAGAUCUGGAUGUGCUCCGCCUAUGAUCUGGACGUGGAUAGGGUUUCUCUGUCUGUGCUUCUGGCAAAUGUGGUCUGAUUCAGUCAUAGCUGUAAACAAAUGUCAGCACCUUUACUGGGAAAUGUAGUGACCAGGAUUAGACAAACGAGAGGGCUGGAAAUGGGUCUGCUUCAAGUCUUACCAUGUACCUUGUGGAGCGACAUCUGGAGAUGGUGGAGCCUGGUCUCUUAGUUUCUGCCCCUUUGGUGGGGAUGGGCUUGUCCCACCAGCUAAAGAGGACAGACCCUUUGUAGGAAGUGCUCCCAUAUGGACAGCAGAAAAUGGGAAGGUUUGGUGUGCUCAUGGGGCUGGAUCACUGCUGCAAAGGGAAGUACCUCCACAGGAUUAUUUUAUUUUGGGCAAAACUGUUUCAAAUUCUUUUUUUUUUCUAUUUUUUUUUUCUAAUUUAUACUUCCCCCAAAGUAUUUAAUUUGGGGAUGAAACAAUUAUAAUAAUGAAACCCAAUACUCACUAAAAAAAAUAAUUCCUAAUUGUGUUUAUCGGACUCAGUUUCCUAUAGCAUCCAUUUGCAGGAUGUCGGGAUACGACUGGGUGCAUGAAAAGGACCAGAUGUAAGAAAAAUCAAACAAAACCUGUGCUGGCUUUCUGAGACAAGGAGCUGGCUGUGGGUGCCUGUUUCCCACACCGCAGCAUGGGAGGGCUCCUGCAUUAGCUAACACCUCCACCAGCCACGGUGCAGGGAAAGGUGGCCUUCGUGCACAGGGAGCAGAUGCUCCACAGCUGAAGCCUUUCAAAGAAGACACCUACAGAGCCCCUGGCCUUGUGGAAUAACUGGAUUGUACAUAAAUAGUC